GUGAGAACGAGUUCAUGGAUCUCGGUAUUAUCACUUCUCAGGAAGCUUUCACCACCGUUUUUGUUGUAGAACUGUUGAUCGGUUCGAGCUGCCACGCAAUGAAUCACUUUGAGAUGCUUUCUUCUCAACUCAUAAGCUCAUAGACAAAAACCAGGUGAAGGAGAAAAACAUAGCGACCAGACGGAGUCAAAUGAAGACUAUAAUAUUUCUAGAGGGAAACCGGAGAGACUUUGAAGAGCUGGCGGAUAAUGUGACAGAAGGUCUUGAUGUUUACUUUGUGGAUGACUAUAAAAUGAUUUUCGAGCUUGCCUUUGGCUAUGACAAGCAACAAGACUGAGAGAACUCAGAAACUACUGAAGGAAACAGUUCUACUGAUUGAUCAUGGGGAUGAGUUGUCUCUGGUAUCUCUCCAAGGGAAGGCUCGAUCCAGGAGGAGCACAGGCAAGAAGCAAGUGAUUCACAAAUGGUAUAACCUCUGGAGUUGUUGAUUAGGAAAAUUUAAUAACACAACCUCUGGUACCACUUCACAUCCUGAAAUCUAGCUAUUGGAGAAUGCUUCAACUCAUAUGGUAUUUGAGGAUCAACAACAUGCAAUAUCAGAGGUCUUUGGGUCCAAUGUUUGAUGCUUUACACUCAGGAGUCGCUGAGAAUGGUGAGAGAUGUACUUGUAUUAAGUCAACACAUUCUGCCUACAGUGUGUUGAAUGAUUUAACACAGACUUGGGCAUAAGAAGAAGCAGAGGAAGUGCUUCACACCAACAAGUCAUCCCACAACCUGAGCAUCAUCUCCUUGAUCAGAGGAGUCUCAUGUACUCAAGUUAGUUUGGUAAAAACGAACAUAACUUUUCAGACAUUGAGAAUGCGGAAACAUGCGCACAUGUCACGAUUAAUGUGGAACUCGAUGAUUAGUUGGGCUCGUGGAGUGAAUACUAAUAAUUGGAGAGCUAAUAAA